AGAGAAUUGCUUGAACCUGGGAGGUGGAGGUUGCAGUGAGCUGAGAUUGUACCACUGCACUACAGCCUGGGUGACAGAC
rnacentral:snRNA from 1 species